AGGACUACAGGGGUAUCUAAUCCUGUUUGCUCCCCACGCUUUCGCACCUCAGCGUCAAUACCUGUCCAGCGAGUCGCCUUCGCCACUGGUGUUCUUCCGAAUAUCUACGAAUUUCACCCCUACACUCGGAAUUCCACUCGCCUCUCCAGGAUUCUAGCAACCUAGUUUCAAAGGCAGUUCCGGGGUUGAGCCCCGGGCUUUCACCUCUGACUUGAGUCGCCGCCUACGUGCGCUUUACGCCCAGUAAUUCCGAACAACGCUAGCUCCCUCCGUAUUACCGCGGCUGCUG
rnacentral:misc_RNA from 1 species